rnacentral:rRNA from 1 species
GUGAGGAAUUUUGGGCAAUGGGCGAAAGCCUGACCCAGCGACGCCGCGUGGGCGAUGAAGGUCUUCGGAUCGUAAAGCCCUGUGAGUUGAGAAGAAGCCCAUGAGUGCUAAUAUCGCUUAUGGGUGACAGUACCAACAGAGGAAGCCCCGGCUAACUACGUGCCAGCAGCCGCGGUAAAACGUAGGGGGCUAGCGUUGUUCGGAAUUACUGGGCGUAAAGCGCGUGUAGGCGGUUUAGUAAGUCAGAAGUGAAAUCCCUCGGCUCAACCGAGGAACUGCUUUUGAAACUACUGAACUUGAGUAUGGGCGGGGAGAGCGGAAUUCCCGGUGUAGCGGUGAAAUGCGUAGAUAUCGGGAAGAACACCAGUGGCGAAGGCGGCUCUCUGGACCAUCACUGACGCUGAGACGCGAAAGCGUGGGUAGCAAACAGGAUUAGAAACCCCGGUAGUCC